rnacentral:rRNA from 1 species
UACGUAGGGGGCGAGCGUUGUCCGGAUUCAUUGGGCGUAAAGGGCUCGUAGGCGGCCAACUAAGUCAUACGUGAAAUCCCUCGGCUUAACCGGGGAACUGCGUCUGAUACUGGAUGGCUUGAGAUUGGGAGAGGGAUGCGGAAUUCCAGGUGUAGCGGUGAAAUGCGUAGAUAUCUGGAGGAACACCGGUGGCGAAGGCGGCAUCCUGGACCAACACUGACGCUGAGGAGCGAAAGCCAGGGGAGCAAACGGG